UUUUAGAUGAAUACUGUGAUAGGGAUGCCUUGUUGAAAAAAGCAGCAUCUGCAAUACAAAGCCAAAUAUCCGUUUUAAGUUGUACAAUACAAGUGGAAACCUACAACCACGAUCUAAUACUUUCUUGUAGUGAAUGUCAAAACCUCCAGUGGUGACAAGGUGAUAUGAAAAUUAUUGAGUCUUAUGACACGAUUAGAUGAGAUGACGUUUAAAUUUGAUAAAAUGUAAACUUUUCAAAGUAGGCUGACAAUACCUAUCCAAAAAUGUUACAUUUUUAAAAAAUAAAUAAAGGGAAAUAAUAAAA
rnacentral:lncRNA from 1 species